rnacentral:tRNA from 1 species
CGGGGUGUGGCGCAGUCCGGUAGCGCACUAGUCUGGGGGACUAGUGGUCGGAGGUUCAAAUCCUCUCACCCCGACCA